AGGACGAACGCUGGCGGCGUGCUUAACACAUGCAAGUCGAACGAGGUGCUUCGGCAUUUAGUGGCGAACGGGUGAGUAACACGUGAGCAACCUGCCCUUGGCUCUGGGAUAGCCUCCGGAAACGGGGAUUAAUACCGGACAUGACCUGCUCCUGCAUGGGGGCGGGUGGAAAGUUUUUCGGCCAGGGAGGGGCUCGCGGCCUAUCAGCUUGUUGGGGGGGUAACGGCCCACCAAGGCGACGACGGGUAGCCGGCCUGAGAGGGCGACCGGCCACACUGGGACUGAGACACGGCCCAGACUCCUACGGGAGGCAGCAGUGGGGAAUAUGCACAAUGGGGGAAACCCUGAUGCAGCGACGCCGCGUGCGGGAUGAAGGCCUUCGGGUUGUAAACCGCUUUCAGCAGGGACGAACCUAGACGGUACCUGCAGAAGAAGCGCCGGCUAACUACGCGCCAGCAGCCGC
rnacentral:rRNA from 1 species